ensembl:snoRNA
UUGACAUAAUGAUGAUUGCAUAGUUCAGCAGAUUAAACAGUGAAGAAGAACUAUUGUCUUUCGCUCCUAGCUGAUGUGUCAG